CCAGGGCAUGGUCUAAUUUAUAAUUCAACUUCGUACAGUGAAACUGCGAAUGGCUCAUUAAAUCAGUUAUCGUUUAUUUGAUAGUACCUUACUACUUGGAUAACCGUGGUAAUUCUAGAGCUAAUACAUGCUAAAAAUCCCGACCUCCGGAAGGGAUGUAUUUAUUAGAUAAAAAACCAAUGGCUUCGGCCUCCUUGGUGAUUCAUGAUAACUUAACGAAUCGCAUGGCCUUGCGCCGGCGAUGGUUCAUUCAAAUUUCUGCCCUAUCAACUUUCGAUGGUAGGAUAGUGGCCUACCAUGGUUUCAACGGGUAACGGGGAAUUAGGGUUCGAUUCCGGAGAGGGAGCCUGAGAAACGGCUACCACAUCCAAGGAAGGCAGCAGGCGCGCAAAUUACCCAAUCCCAAUUCGGGGAGGUAGUGACAAUAAAUACUGAUACAGGGCUCUUUUGGGUCUUGUAAUUGGAAUGAGUACAAUUUAAAUCCCUUAACGAGGAACAAUUGGAGGGCAAGUCUGGGCCC
rnacentral:rRNA from 1 species